AGCACGGGAGCUUGCUCCUGGUGGCGAGUGGCGAACGGGUGAGUAAUGCGUCGGAACGUACCGAGUAAUGGGGGAUAACGCAGCGAAAGCUGUGCUAAUACCGCAUACGCCCUGAGGGGGAAAGUGGGGGAUCGCAAGACCUCACGUUACUCGAGCGGCCGACGUCUGAUUAGCUAGUUGGUGGGGUAAUGGCCUACCAAGGCGACGAUCAGUAGCGGGUCUGAGAGGAUGAUCCGCCACACUGGGACUGAGACACGGCCCAGACUCCUACGGGAGGCAGCAGUGGGGAAUUUUGGACAAUGGGGGCAACCCUGAUCCAGCCAUUCCGCGUGAGUGAAGAAGGCCUUCGGGUUGUAAAGCUCUUUCAGCUGGAACGAAACGGUACAGGUUAAUACCCUGUGCUAAUGACGGUACCGGCAGAAGAAGCACCGGCUAACUACGUGCCAGCAGCCGCGGUAAUACGUAGGGUGCGAGCGUUAAUCGGAAUUAUUGGGCGUAAAGCGUGCGCAGGCGGAUUGUUAAGCAAGAUGUGAAAUCCCCGGGCUUAACCUGGGAAUGGCAUUUUGAACUGGCAGUCUAGAGUGCGUCAGAGGGGGGUGGAAUUCCACGUGUAGCAGUGAAAUGCGUAGAGAUGUGGAGGAACACCAAUGGCGAAGGCAGCCCCCUGGGAUGACACUGACGCUCAUGUACGAAAGCGUGGGUAGCAAACAGGAUUAGAUACCCUGGUAGUCCACGCCCUAAACGAUGUCAACUGGUUG
rnacentral:rRNA from 1 species